UACUAGUGAUUCAACUUGAAUUGCACUGAACACAGAACUGAUUUUACACUCCGUAUUAAUUUUCGGAUAAAACAGAACGAAUCGGUGAACCGAACGUCGCGACGACCGACAAUCAACUAACUCGUGUAACGUUUACUAGAUACUUCGGAUAUGCUGUUUCAAAAGAACACAAUGCAUACUCAGACGUAGGGCAAGGGACUGAAUACAUGAAAACAAUAACAGUGACUCUUGAACGAAGCAAAAGAAUAGCCGUAGCGAGUAUCGCAGGGCCAAAAGGUCUAGCCAAUCACCGACUUAAAGAAAGCCGUACCGUCGUCAACUAACUACGCUUGUUAGUAAACCCGAUUCGGCAUAUAACCUCAAACGGUACAGCAAAAUUCCGAAACACGAAGAGAAAAAUUGUUCUUUUAAUACUCGUCGUCACGUGUGCAAAUUUUAAUAGGCAAUAUAUUAAACCGUUUUACUCGUGCGUUAACAGAUUCAACUGACUGACAAGUUACUCACACGACUUCCAUUAGACAGGGUUCGCGCAGGGUCGAGUACACUCCUGCCAGGGUCAACUCAGUUAAAAUCAUUUGACUCAGUCAUCAUCUACUGCGUGAUAUCAAUAUACGGUUAAUCACAUUUACUUAAUGUAAUUUCAAAUCUUCAGAGGGUUCGCUUUGCGUCCGUAUGUCAGCUGAAAUUCCACACGUUCGAUCCAGACCGAUAGCACUGACAUCGAGACACUUAAAUGUCAAUUCGUAAUGUCUGGUGGAACAUUAUCAAAAUAUCGAUAUAGGCUUCAUGCCAAAGGAUGAAUAAACCCAGAUAAAACUAAUUGUACGUACUACAAAAUAGCCCGAUACUAACACAUUUAACAUGUCAUUUACUUUAACGGCCAUUUUAUAAUCUGGUUCGUCAUGACACAUGAAAAUGCCGAACAAGAGCGGAAUUACCCGAAGUAAGAUCGGAGGUAUACCCUAGGCCAUUGUCGCGCGCAUAGCAAGUACCGACACGUGUGAAAGUAUAAUGACAAAGAAAGAGAAAGGAUUGGAAAUAAAAUAGAUCUAAGCUCGUACGUGUUGUAUAGAAAUUUCAUAGGUUAGGCUUGCAUCCAAGGUUCUUCGAUAUUUCUGCCUUUUCUGCAACGGCCGGUUAAAGACCUCAUUGACUGCGCAAUAUAUUUUCUAUUCAGCUUUGACUAUAUCUAAUUGAGUGUAACGUACAGCAAGAAAUGACGUAGACGGCUGAGGUCUCCAAUAAUAUUAGAUUCUACACGCAUCAGACUGGCAACCUGAGGAUAUGUAUGCCAAGGCUCCCCACUAGUUGGACGGACAUAAAAUAUCCACCCGGUCUUCUACAGUGCCUCGAUUAAAUGAGUUCGCAUUCAUCGUGUCCUCGUUGGCCCGGCAUUUAAUUCGCUGAAAAACACGUUUAUGACUCCGUAAUAAUAAUAGGCUCAAGGAUUACAUCACGUGGGAUGACUUUUAAAAAAAAUACUCCACUCAAUCCCUAUAGAGCCAGUUUCGGCGGGAGCUGUCGCUGUCUGAUUUUUCGCCGGGGGCUCUCGAUUCCAAGAAGCCAAUGUAUUCAUUGGGUAACGCAUAAGGUUGGCCCAGUAUCCAUACACAUAUACAUAUACCAUUUACGGAACUAAAAAUGAGAACAAGAAUUGACGCCCUGAAAAUCCUGCCGACAAAAAAGUCAACAAUAGUUCGAUUCAAUUAUUAAAAAUUCGUGCAAUUUUCUAUUAAAAAGGUCCACGACCACGAAAAUCCCCCAAAAAAAACAUACUACAACGUAACACGUGACUUCCAUUACGCAUGACGCACUGUGACAGUGCCGUAAGGAAAUGCAUAUCUAUAAAAAUAAUUUGAUUGAAAAUCAAUUCAAAUAAAAUUCCCCCCGUGGGCCUAAUCGAAAGACGAUACACUCCGUGAUCAAAAUACAAACCCAUCAUAAAGAAUCCAAUGACGUACUUCCCCCUGGCCACACAUAAUUUCUAUUAUAUGCACCAACGAUCAAAACAUAUGAAAACUUUUAGAAGCAGGUGUUAAGGAACGGUAUCCAAAUUCUAAUGCAGAAUGAGCUUCCCCUGUAUAUUAGUAUGCUGCUCAAACCGGAUUGAAACUUGAGGUGAGUCGAGUCGAGUUAGCAUUGGCCUUGCCAGACGAUACGGCCUCGGCUGGAUACGAAGGAAGGCUACGUGUUCAGAUGCAACGAGCAAUCUCAAAGAGCAGAACGGAAAUGGCGACAACUCAAUCAGCCCACUCACCGUCCAGUUCGAUGGCAACACUGAUGCCCACGUUAAAUUAACCUCUGGUCACUUCCGAUACGGCAGAGGGAAAGAGACAGAGAGAGAUCUCCAAAAAUUUUCAUGCGAGCAGAAAUUAAGCACGAUUAUGAGAAGGAAGUACGCAAUUACAGAAGAUACCUAAUAGUGGAGUGAAAAUAGUAAAACUGUCGUAAUCAGCUCUAGAGUGAAACCAGCCAACAUACGUGAAGCGUGCAACCAACGUACGCAGUCUAAAAUUCUUGGAUUGUCCCAAUACAAGAACCAGGUGCACUCGAAUAUAUGUGUGUCACGUUCGAAAGGCAUUAAGAAAUCAAUUAGGUUCAAUGCGCCCGUUCGAGCAAUAACAACGAGUCUGCUUUUCGAUGAUUUUGAGAACGUUCAAUCCUUACGUCAAUAGAAAUCACGAGGAACGACGAAUCUAAGGAAUGCCUGGCACUUGGCUCUCCAGAGCAUAAAGUCAAAAUAAAGGAUCAAGAGGAAGGAAUGUUUCUGGUUUGAUUAACUGAAAAUUAAGUGACGUUAAUAUUAUGGAGGGAAACGUCGGUACUGGUUGUUGGCGUUUGAUGAUUUAGUACAGUCAUUAUAGUCAUCUUGUUAUUCAAGGUACUCAUUGCAGAUGGUAGUUAUAAAUUAUCUUUCACACUUGACCACCCGUAAUUUAACAAUUUACAGGGUGUAAGCGAAUCGCUAUUUAUUCUCAUGGUUCUUAGAAAAUGUAUGCAUUCUCGAAAAUCUUAAUUAACUCGAGAAACCAUACUGAGAAAUGAUAAUAAAAGACGUGUUCGAUAAGCCGCAAUGUUUUGCGGGUAAAAUGAUAUUUUACAUACGUAAGAUGAAGGAGUCGAGAGGAAUUUGCAGGAUUUAAAAAGUAGCCAAAAAUAGUUUCAAGAAUCUCCAUGAUUUGGGCAUCGACUUAUGUGGAUUUCUUAUCUCUGUCAUUUCAUCCAGAUAAUUUGACACGUCACCGUGACGUUUUUACAGUGACGCUUCAAGCGUUCAUUUUAUCAUGACUGUCCGUCUAGUUGGGUGUUAAAUGAAAAUCAUCAUUGUCUCUAUACCAGCAUCAAUUAUCAUCUGACAAUGCAGCAUUCCUCUCUAACGAGAUUAACUCACGUUACGCUGCUAGCGUGCAUAAUAUCUUCAUAUAUAUUUUUUCAGCAUUCGCAUCGCUCGAGAUAAUGAAAAGCUGAUGUUAGUGGUGCAAGAGUUUUAGAUUUAUUGGACACGGCAAUUGUGACCGCAAGCAGCUUAUUCUAAUAGCAAGUAAUAGGCCGAUUUGUAGCGUCUGGUACAAUAAUUACUAUUACGAUUAAUCGCUCAGAGACAGCUGCAAUGAUAGGUCUCGUGAUGCCAAUAAAUACGUGUGUCGCUACUACACAGAAAUAUAUCGAGGUCGUUCUAGUACGAUCCACAGAAUUCAGGGCAAUGAUUUUAUUUAAAAAAAAAAAACAUUGCGAUCCUGCCCAGAAUACAAAAAACAUUCGCGAAAGAAUUAACUGCGGAAUUAUUCAAAAAUCCUUUCACUUAUCAUUAUCCUUAAUUUAAUGAAGGUACAGUGCCUUGAAAUAAUAAGUAAAUGCAUAAACGUACAACAGAAAAAAUUUCACGUUAAAUAAAACACCCUUAUCCCAUUCAUCAUUCAGUAAUUAUAUAAAAUGCGAUAUAUGUAAAAUCUCCAAUAAUAUAAAUAUAAAUAUAUAUAUAUAUAUAUCCCUACAGCGAACGUGGUACUAACUUCCUAUAAUUAAAAGUAAGGACAGUGCACCCGCCAAAGUUUUCCUUAGAGUGAUAAAAUUAUAUUUUCGUCCUUGUCCUACGUAUUGUAGGUCAUUGGCGAGAACGUCAUUCUGCGCGCGACCGCGAAAAGAAUUGGCAUAACCUCUGAAU